UGGGGAAUAUUGGACAAUGGGCGAAAGCCUGAUCCAGCCAUGCCGCGUGUGUGAAGAAGGUCUUCGGAUUGUAAAGCACUUUAAGUUGGGAGGAAGGGCAGUAAGCGAAUACCUUGCUGUUUUGACGUUACCGACAGAAUAAGCACCGGCUAACUCUGUGCCAGCAGCCGCGGUAAUACAGAGGGUGCAAGCGUUAAUCGGAAUUACUGGGCGUAAAGCGCGCGUAGGUGGUUCGUUAAGUUGAAUGUGAAAGCCCCGGGCUCAACCUGGGAACUGCAUCCAAAACUGGCGAGCUAGAGUAGGGCAGAGGGUGGUGGAGUUUCCUGUGUAGCGGUGAAAUGCGUAGAUAUAGGAAGGAACACCAGUGGCGAAGGCGACCACCUGGGCUCAUACUGACACUGAGGUGCGAAAGCGUGGGGAACAAACAGG
rnacentral:rRNA from 1 species